rnacentral:rRNA from 1 species
AGAGUUUGAUCCUGGCUCAGAUUGAACGCUGGCGGUAUGCUUUACACAUGCAAGUCGAACGGCAGCAUAGGUGCUUGCACCUGAUGGCGAGUGGCGAACGGGUGAGUAAUGCAUCGGAACGUGCCCAGUCGUGGGGGAUAACGCAGCGAAAGCUGUGCUAAUACCGCAUACGAUCUAUGGAUGAAAGCGGGGGACCUUCGGGCCUCGCGCGAUUGGAGCGGCCGAUGUUAGAUUAGGUAGUUGGUGGGGUAAAGGCUCACCAAGCCGACGAUCUAUAGCUGGUCUGAGAGGACGACCAGCCACACUGGAGCUGAGACACGGUCCAGACUCCUACGGGAGGCAGCAGUGGGGAAUUUUGGACAAUGGGCGAAAGCCUGAUCCAGCAAUACCGCGUGCAGGAAGAAGGCCCUCGGGUUGUAAACUGCUUUUGUACGGAACGAAACGGCGCGCUCUAAUAAAGUGCGCUAAUGACGGUACCGUAAGAAUAAGCACCGGCUAACUACGUGCCAGCAGCCGCGGUAAUACGUAGGGUGCAAGCGUUAAUCGGAAUUACUGGGCGUAAAGCGUGCGCAGGCGGUUUUGUAAGACAGGCGUGAAAUCCCCGGGCUUAACCUGGGAAUUGCGCUUGUGACUGCAAGGCUAGAGUACGGUAGAGGGGGGUAGAAUUCCGCGUGUAGCA